UUUCGUUUUUGAAUUUUUUUUGAUAUCGCGCUAAGGAAGACAAGGAGUUUGAUUGGUUGGGUGUGUUUUAGGUGGAUGACGAACACUUGGAUGGGAAGCUAAUUACGACCAUCAUCCAAAUAUUCGGAGAUUAAGAGAGAUAAGUAUGUCCAACUAUAUCCUUUUUUGUCCAAGUUAUUCAUGAAAUUUGUGUGAUGAAUUAAGUCACGUUUCUUUAAACGAAAGACGAGUAUUUGC
rnacentral:lncRNA from 1 species